GACGAACGCUGGCGGCGUGCCUAAUACAUGCAAGUUGAGCGCUGAAGGUUGGUACUUGUACCCACUGGAUGAGCAGCUAACGGGUGAGUAACGCGUGGGGAAUCUGCCUUUGAGCGGGGGACAACAUUUGGAAACGAAUGCUAAUACCGCAUAAAAACUUUAAACACAAGUUUUAAGUUUGAAAGAUGCAAUUGCAUCACUCAAAGAUGAUCCCGCGUUGUAUUAGCUAGUUGGUGAGGUAAAGGCUCACCAAGGCGAUGAUACAUAGCCGACCUGAGAGGGUGAUCGGCCACAAUGGGACUGGGAAACGGCCCAAACUCCUACGGGAGGCAGCAGUAGGGAAUCUUCGGCAAUGGACGAAAGGCUGACCGAGCAACGCCGCGUGAGUGAAGAAGGUUUUCGGAUCGUAAAACUCUGUUGGUAGAGAAGAACGUUGGUGAGAGUGGAAAGCUCAUCAAGUGACGGUAACUACCCAGAAAGGGACGGCUAACUACGUG
rnacentral:rRNA from 1 species